AUUGAACGCUGGCGGCAUGCCUUACACAUGCAAGUCGAACGGUAACGCGGGGCAACCUGGCGACGAGUGGCGAACGGGUGAGUAAUGUAUCGGAACGUGCCCAGUUGUGGGGGAUAACUGCUCGAAAGAGCAGCUAAUACCGCAUACGACCUGAGGGUGAAAGCGGGGGAUCGCAAGACCUCGCGCAAUUGGAGCGGCCGAUAUCAGAUUAGGUAGUUGGUGAGGUAAAGGCUCACCAAGCCGACGAUCUGUAGCUGGUCUGAGAGGACGACCAGCCACACUGGGACUGAGACACGGCCCAGACUCCUACGGGAGGCAGCAGUGGGGAAUUUUGGACAAUGGGCGCAAGCCUGAUCCAGCCAUGCCGCGUGCAGGAUGAAGGCCUUCGGGUUGUAAACUGCUUUUGUACGGAACGAAAAGACUCUGGUUAAUACCUGGGGUCCAUGACGGUACCGUAAGAAUAAGCACCGGCUAACUACGUGCCAGCCGCCGCAGUAAUAC
rnacentral:rRNA from 1 species